GAUGAACGCUGGCGGCAUGCCUAAUACAUGCAAGUCGAACGAGAGGAAGGAAAGCUUGCUUUUCUGAAUCUAGUGGCGAACGGGUGAGUAACACGUAGGUAACCUGCCCAUGUGCCCGGGAUAACUUCUGGAAACGGAUGCUAAAACCGGAUAGGUAGCAGACAAGCAUUUGACUGCUAUUAAAGUGGCUAAGGCCAUGAACAUGGAUGGACCGGCGGUGCAUUAGCUAGUUGGUGAGGUAACGGCCCACCAAGGCGACGAUGCAUAGCCGGCCUGAGAGGGCGGACGGCCACAUUGGGACUGAGACACGGCCCAAACUCCUACGGGAGGCAGCAGUAGGGAAUUUUCGUCAAUGGGGGGAACCCUGAACGAGCAAUGCCGCGUGAGUGAGGAAGGUCUUCGGAUCGUAAAGCUCUGUUGUAAGAGAAAAACGACAUUCAUAGGGAAUGAUGAGUGAGUGAUGGUAUCUUACCAGAAAGUCACGGCUAACUACGUGCCAGCAGCCGCCGUAAAAC
rnacentral:rRNA from 1 species